UUGACCUCGAUCAGUAGAUCCAGUCC
rnacentral:rRNA from 1 species